rnacentral:rRNA from 1 species
UGCAAGUCGAACGGGUAGUUGUCUUCGGAUGGCUAUUAGUGGCAAACGGGUGAGUAACACGUGGGGAUCUGCCCAGUAGUGGGGAACAACUCCGAGAAAUCGGAGCUAAUACCGCAUAGGGUCUGUUGUGAGAGCGACGAGACUAAAGCCAGUAAUGGCGCUAUUGGAGGAACCUGCGGCUGAUUAGCUAGUUGGUGGGGUAAAGGCCUACCAAGGCGAUGAUCAGUAGCUGGUCUGAGAGGAUGGACAGCCACACUGGGACUGAGAUACGGCCCAGACUCCUACGGGAGGCAGCAGCAAGGAAUUUUCGUCAAUGGGGGAAACCCUGAACGAGCAACGCCGCGUGGGCGAAGAAGUCUUUCGGGAUGUAAAGCCCUUUUCCCUGUGAAGAAAGAAAGACGGUAACAGGGGAAUAAGCAUCGGCUAACUACGUGCCAGCAGCCGCGGUAAUACGUAGGAUGCAAGCGUUGUCCGGAAUUAUUGGGCGUAAAGAGCGCGCAGGCGGUUUUACAAGUCAGAUGUGAAAUAUCCGGGCUUAACCCGGAGGGGUCAUUUGAAACUGUGAGACUAGAGUACAGCAGAGGAUAGCGGAAUUCCCGGUGUAGUGGUGAAAUGCGUAGAUAUCGGGAGGAACACCAGUGGCGAAGGCGGCUAUCUGGGCUGAAACUGACGCUGAGGCGCGAAGGCUAAGGGUAGCAAACAGGAUUA